rnacentral:rRNA from 1 species
UACGUAGGGUGCAAGCGUUGUCCGGAAUUAUUGGGCGUAAAGAGCUCGUAGGCGGCUUGUCGCGUCGGCUGUGAAAACUUGGGGCUCAACCCCAAGCCUGCGGUCGAUACGGGCAGGCUCGAGUUCGGUAGGGGAGACUGGAAUUCCUGGUGUAGCGGUGAAAUGCGCAGAUAUCAGGAGGAACACCGAUGGCGAAGGCAGGUCUCUGGGCCGAUACUGACGCUGAGGAGCGAAAGCGUGGGGAGCGAACAGG